UACGUAGGGGGCUAGCGUUGUCCGGAAUCAUUGGGCGUAAAGCGCGUGUAGGCGGUUCGGUAAGUCCGCUGUGAAAGUCGGGGGCUCAACCCUCGAAUGCCGGUGGAUACUGUCGGACUAGAGUACGGAAGAGGCGAGUGGAAUUCCUGGUGUAGCGGUGAAAUGCGCAGAUAUCAGGAGGAACACCGAUGGCGAAGGCAGGUCUCUGGGCCAUAACUGACGCUGAGAAGCGAAAGCAUGGGGAGCGAACAGG
rnacentral:rRNA from 1 species